rnacentral:rRNA from 1 species
CGCACGACUCUCGACAACGGAUAUCUCGGCUCUCGCAUCGAUGAAGAACGUAGCGAAAUGCGAUACUUGGUGUGAAUUGCAGAAUCCCGUGAACCAUCGAGUCUUUGAACGCAAGUUGCGCCCGAAGCCAGGCUAAGGGCASGUCUGCCUGGGCGUCACGC